GAUGAAGAACGUAGCGAAAUGCGAUACGUAAUGUGAAUUGCAGAAUUCAGUGAAUCAUCGAGUCUUUGAACGCACAUUGCGCCCCCUGGUAUUCCGGGGGGCAUGCCUGUCCGAGCGUCAUUGCUGCCCUCAAGCCCGGCGUGUGUGUUGGGUCUCGUCCCCCUUCCCGGGGGGACGGGCCCGAAAGGCAGCGGCGGCACCGCGUCCGGUCCUCGAGCGUAUGGGGCUUUGUCACCCGCUCUGUAGGCCCGGCCGGCGCUUGCCGAUCAACCAAAACUUUUUUCCAGGUUGACCUCGGAUCAGGUAGGGAUACCCGCUGAACUUAAGCAUAUCAAUAAGCGGAGGA
rnacentral:misc_RNA from 1 species